ACAUCGGAAAAGAAAAAGACCCUGUGCUGCUUUCUGAUUGAUUGGAGUCGCUCGAUUCGACAGACUGCUUUCUGAUCCCAUGCUUUUCCAUUACUUCAAAUUUAUGGCCCCUGGCGCUGGCAACCGAAUGUGACUCUAUGUCCAAGAAAACAGUUUGAGAAGAGAAUGGGGAGAAGAGAAGAUUAAUUAGGAGAGGGAAAUGGCCAUUUGAAUUUGAAUAAAGGACUGCAUAAAUUGGGGAGUUACACAGUGCCAACACAUGAUGAAAAAGAAUCGGUUAUGAUUCUACACAAGGUAAAAGAAGAGAGAAAUUUGGGGGAGAGGUAAUUGGUGGUCGGUCUUAUUAUUACAAAUAAUUUAUUAAUUUUUCCUUAUAUAUAAUUCUUUUUUCUUUAUACGGAAUACUUUCAAGAUGAAAAUAUGAAAAAUUCAAACAUUACUCUUAUUAGGAAUAUGGUUAUUUGUUAA